AGAGUUUGAUCCUGGCUCAGAACGAACGCUGGCGGCAGGCCUAAUACAUGCAAGUCGAGCGCGCCCUUCGGGGUGAGCGGCGGACGGGUGAGUAACGCGUGGGAAUAUGCCCUUCUCUAAGGAAUAGCCUCUGGAAACGGAGAGUAAUACCUUAUACGCCCUUUGGGGGAAAGAUUUAUCGGAGAAGGAUUAGCCCGCGUUAGAUUAGGUAGUUGGUGGGGUAAUGGCCUACCAAGCCUACGAUCUAUAGCUGGUUUGAGAGGAUGAUCAGCCACACUGGGACUGAGACACGGCCCAGACUCCUACGGGAGGCAGCAGUAGGGAAUCUUAGACAAUGGGGGCAACCCUGAUCUAGCCAUGCCGCGUGUGUGAUGAAGGCCCUAGGGUCGUAAAGCACUUUCGCCAGAGAUGAUAAUGACAGUACCUGGUAAAGAAACCCCGGCUAACUCCGUGCCAGCAGCCGCGGUAAUACGGAGGGGGUUAGCGUUGUUCGGAAUUACUGGGCGUAAAGCGCACGUAGGCGGAUUAGAAAGUUAGAGGUGAAAUCCCAGGGCUCAACCCUGGAACUGCCUUUAAAACUCCUAGUCUUGAGUUCGAGAGAGGUGAGUGGAAUUCCAAGUGUAGAGGUGAAAUUCGUAGAUAUUUGGAGGAACACCAGUGGCGAAGGCGGCUCACUGGCUCGAUACUGACGCUGAGGUGCGAAAGUGUGGGGAGCAAACAGGAUUAGAUACCCUGGUAGUCCACACCGUAAACGAUGAAUGCCAGUCGUCGGGUAGUAUACUAUUCGGUGACACACCUAACGGAUUAAGCAUUCCGCCUGGGGAGUACGGUCGCAAGAUUAAAACUCAA
rnacentral:rRNA from 1 species